rnacentral:rRNA from 1 species
AUUGAACGCUGGCGGCAUGCCUUACACAUGCAAGUCGAACGGCAGCAUGGGAGCUUGCUCCUGAUGGCGAGUGGCGAACGGGUGAGUAAUAUAUCGGAACGUGCCCUAGAGUGGGGGAUAACUAGUCGAAAGACUAGCUAAUACCGCAUACGAUCUACGGAUGAAAGUGGGGGAUCGCAAGACCUCAUGCUCCUGGAGCGGCCGAUAUCUGAUUAGCUAGUUGGUGGGGUAAAAGCCUACCAAGGCAACGAUCAGUAGCUGGUCUGAGAGGACGAACAGCCACACUGGGACUGAGACACGGACCAGACUCCUACGGGAGGCAGCAGUGGGGAAUUUUGGACAAUGGGGGCAACCCUGAUCCAGCAAUGCCGCGUGAGUGAAGAAGGCCUUCGGGUUGUAAAGCUCUUUUGUCAGGGAAGAAACGGUAGUAGCGAAUAACUAUUACUAAUGACGGUACCUGAAGAAUAAGCACCGGCUAACUACGUGCCAGCAGCCGCGGUAA